rnacentral:tRNA from 1 species
GGAUGUGUGACAGAGUGGUUUAAUGUGCCUGGCUUGAGUCUAGGAGUUCUUAAUCAGAACCAGGAGUUCGAAUCUCCUCGCGUCCG